rnacentral:lncRNA from 1 species
UUCCCCCACUAACGUCAAUACAUCCAAAGCGAAGCCACAAAAUAAGGCUCAAUCAGAUACCCCAAAUAAGGCUCCUAUUCUCUUUCAUUUUGAACACAGAGGAUAAAACUCCCCAACCCAGAUGCUCUCCCCAAAUCCCUAAAUCCAACGUCAGUGAUUUUUGCUAUGUAAGUUUUUUUGACGCCUUUUUUUUAAUCUUUUUCUACUAUCCUUGAUUGUGUUAAUAUCUGUUCUUCAAUUAGAAGAUCGUCUUGGUUUUUGUCGAUCAUUUUGGUAUUAUUAUUACCCUUUCUCUCUAUUUCUUUCUUGGUAUUUGAUAAUGGAUGCUUAGAUAUUAUUUUUACCGUUGCUUUUAUUUUGUUAAACAUCUUGUCUUAUUGUUUAGUUCCUUUACUUUGUUCAUCUGUUUGGUGCUUGUUAUUGAUAUUGCUGGAAUGGUUAAAGUUUGGAUCUUUUUUACAUUAUCUUUGUGGAAUUUAUUCUGAUAUGAUAAUAGAUGCUUAGAUAUUUUUAUCGUAGCUUUUAUUUUGUUGAACUACAUAUCCUAGUGUCUAGUCCCAUUACUCUGUUCCAUAUGUUUGGUGCUUGUUUUUGUUGUUGUUGAUGCUGGUAUGAUUAAAGGUUGAAUCCUUUUUUACAUUUUUGUGGAAUUUUGUGUUAUAUGAUCUAUAUGUACCAUGAAAACAACUUCUUAUAGAAAUGCAGCGUGCAAUAGGCCCUUGUGGUCCAGCCUUUCCUCGGACCCCGCACAUAGCGGGAGCUUAGUGCACCGGGCUGCCCCUUUUUAUUUUUUAUGAUCUAUAUGUAAGAGUUAUACUCGAAUUGCUUGAAAAGCUGCAUGCUUUUGACGGCUUUUUCAACAACAAUUUUUGGGCUUGUUCUGCUUUGUCUUUAAAGUUUCUACCAUGUUGGUUUGAAGAAAUAUAUUGGUUUGAAGAAUUAUCUCUGUGCCAUCUGCUUGGUGCUUGUUAUUGUUAUGGUUAAAGUUUGGAUAUUUUUACAUGUCUUUUUGGAAAUUGUUGUUGUAUGAUCUUAUGUGUAAAAGUUCCACAUGAAUGUGCUUGCAAAGCUGCCUGCCUGCUCUCACCAAAUAAUUUUUGAGCUUAUUCUGAUUUACUACUAAAGAUAUUGUGUUGUUGGUUUGAAGAUCUAUCUAUGCUUAUUGGUGAUGAGUAUAUUUACUUAAGUUGGGAAAACCAUUAUUGCUUCAUAUGCUUUCUCAAAGAAAACCUUCAGUCUUGAAACUCUUGAUCUUUCUACUAUUGUUUGACCUUUAAGUACUGCUUUUCUAAAUGCAUAUCAGUUUUCUUUGAAAAUGCAAACUUUGAUUGACUAUAGUGCAUUACUGGUCCCCUACCAUCUAUUGAUAUGUUGUUUAACAUAAUUAUCAAUUAUCUGUCUCUAUGGAUUUACUUUUCUUGCUUUUCUCAACUUUCUUCAUUGUUUGCAAGUGAAAUUGGAAAAAGAUAAUUGAGCCAAUUCUUAGCAUAUAUACUAAUUUUGCCUUUUUCAUAGAAAUGCUACUUCAACUGGGUCCUUUCACAAUUUUGCUUUCAUCUGUUGGGAACUAAGACAGUUGGCUACUUAUGUUAUGCUGAUGCUGAAUAGUACUCAUUUUGUUUGAUUUUACCUAUUAUAUUUAGCCCACUUUCUUUUUGCAUCUCCACACCAUUUAAGAAAGAUUGACAAUGCUACACUGAAGGGUUUAAGUUAUGUAAUUUACCUCUGAAUAUUUUUAUUCAAAUUAUUAAAAAAUCAAUUACACGUGAUUGUCCAAUUAUUUUAAUCAUAAGAGUUAUAUCCGGGGUGUGAAAAUUUCAGUGAACUAAGUUUUACUAUUCAAUUGUACUUGCUUAAAUCCUUGCAUGGGUUCAGUAAUGUGGCUUUCUCGGAUUUGUUAGAGUUUAUAAAAUUACCAAGAACGUCGUUACACGAAUUCAACGUCUCAACCCCGAUUUGAGACUUGAUCCUCACAUACUAAUCUUCUGUGCUCGUGCACCUGGAGAAGCUUCCUCUCCACACCAAGCUGAUAUUCAACCAAUCAAUUUUCCAUCUGAUGGUAGUAACAAUCAAGGUCAGUCCAUACCAUAUGUUACACGUCUUCUCUUUCCUCUUCUUCUCCUUUUUUUUUGUUGCUUAUUCUACCACUGCGCUCUCUCUCUCUCUCUCUCUCUCUCUCUCUCUGGCAAUGUUUGUUUUACUAGUUUUAAAGGAGAUUUAUAGUGGAGAAAGAGGGGUUGUUUGUGGAGUCAUUUUAUGGGAGUGUAGUUGAGGCAUUGGUUUACUUGACAUUAUUUGACUGUAGUUGAGGCGUUGUAGCAUAUAUGAAUCUGAUAUGUCUUCUCCGACAAUUUGGAAAUAGAGGAAUUGAAGAAUCUUCAGGGAGGGAAAAGGAACCUAGGGAGCAUAAACUAUAAAAAGUUAGUUUCUGUUUCUUUUAAGGUGUAAAGUAAACUAGUAUUAUCUUUCAUAGAUAAUUGGGUUAACUUGGUGAAAGAUCAUGGUUAAUUCGUGUAGGGUUUGGAAAAUUCUUUUGGCAUUGUGUCAGUGCAUUAUUAAUGAAAUUAUCCUGAUCUAAAGAAGAAACUUAAAGCCCAAAAUGAAGUAAAGAUGUUUGCAGAUGGGCUGACUUUCUUGUGAAAAAUGGAAAUUCUAUCAAAAUUAUGUGGUUUUACUUUGAUUAAUAAAGUAUUUCUGAAAUAAAAUUGAGGUAUUAGUGGACUACAUAUUGGUUCUAUUUUUCCAUGUUCUUUUUUGGGAACUUAGAGUUACACACCAAUAAGAUGGAAGGAUUUGAUAUUGCACCCAUAAACUCAGUAGAAUUUGAAAAAAAAAAACUUUAUGUAAGUAGGAUGUCAUUUUGUAUUUUUGGUUGUGCUUUGUGAUGCCUUUUGGUCAUCCUCAGGCACAUGUCAUCUUCAUCAUGUUACUUACAUGCUUAUGUAGAUCAAAAUCUAUGCUUGUUGAAAAUACAUUUGGCAAAAUGUGGAACAGAGUUAUACUAGAGAGGACUAAGCCUUAGCGGAACUGUCUUUUUUUUUUUUUUUACACUUUUGGAGGACCUACAGUAUUUCAAUUAGUAUUAGUGACUAAUGCUUUUUGUUGAGAAUCAUAUUUUUGUCUAAAGCUCUCUAUUUUCUGUAUACAAUCCUAUAAGCAUGUUUUGCCUAUCACAUUAAUAAAAGAAUUAACUUCAUUUUAAAGAAAAGCAUUUUGGCAAAAGAACUUUCAGAACACACUUUAGACAUAUACUAUCCAAAUAAAAAUACUAGGUUCAGUCAUUUGGAAGUAAAAGAAGAAAAAAUGAUUGUGAUUGCGUGAAGUUCGAAGGCUUAGGAGUCGGCUAUUUUGCUGCAUUUUUGGGUGAUUUUUACAGCUGUUUUGCUGCGUUUUUUUGUUGUUACUACACUUGCAUUAGGUCCGGCAUUUAGAAGUUUAAUCCUUUAUGAUAAACAUUUAUGCAAGAGAGUAGUUCAUCGGCAAAUUCAAAUUGAAUUGUAUGAUGAUUACAGUCUGAGAUUCGUAUUAACGAAAUAUGUCGUUUAGUGUACUCAGUUACCUCUCCUACUUGUCAUGUGUUUUGUCUUUUUGUUGAGAUUUGUCAAGACCCAAAACAACCGUCGUGAUGACGCAUAUCGUGGAACUAGGCAAGCCAAUUACUCAACUAUUCCAACAUAACCAAAAGCUUUGAAACAAAAUACGGAAGCAGUUAAUAUUUAAGGAAAAUCUUUAAAACAUAAAUAAAUACGCAACCCAAUACAAUCUCUCCCUAAACCGGGAUGUUACCGAGUACAUGAGCUUCUACAAUGGAAGAUAGUCAAAUACAGUGUCUAAAGAGUAAAAAAAACUGAAAUACAAGUAAAGAUAAUGAAGGAGGGUCAAGGUCUGCGAAAGUCAUGCAGCUACCUCGAUAGUCUCUCGAGAUCAUGACUCCACAAUGAGCAACCGCCGUGACUGGAAGCACCUGGAUAUCCACACGAGGUGCAGGGUGUAGCGUGAGUACAACCAUUGUCACGAUAGAAAAUGCUGAAGCUGCAAUGGUCCUACCUUAAAGGACUCCGAAGAUCACAGUACAAUUGAAACCUACGGUGAUAGUUCAGACUUACCAGUAACAGCCUACUGCUGCUACCAUGGAUGAAAAGGAUCGGGAAUACAAAGCAGUCCCGUGGACAUAUCAACAAAAAGGGAAAGCCAAUAUGACGGAUUCCGCAGCGGCUCACGGCAUGACUAGGCCAGGGAGGUGUUACGCUCUUGAGGAUAUAAACCGAGGGAAUCUAGGAAGGGUACGGAUUCAGAGAAGAAAUAUAACAGAUCUGAAGGCCGUAGAAUUUUGGAAGAAGAUGUCAACCAAAGAAUACUCCGUUAGGAGCAACUGAAGAAAACCCCGCACAAAUAUCAAUCAUGGAUUUACUGAUGAGUUCUGACAGUCAUAAAGAUGCCCUGAUGAAAGUGUGAAGUGGGGUGAGCGUACUGAGCAAUAACAUAAGUGAGGCACUGGUAACAACAAUUGGGAAAAUGGUCGAAGCAAAUAUGAUCACUUUCCGAAGAGAUGAGCUUCCUAUCUAAGGCGUGGGUCAGAACAAAACUCUACACAUCACUGUCAAAUGUGGAGAUAAGGUGGUGUCCCCAGUACUGAUUGAUGGAGGAUCAGGAUUCAAUAUCUGCCCGCUCUCUACUCUGUGAGAGUUGCAUAUCCAUCUAAGAGAAGUCAAGGAAUGUCAUGCGAGGUUAAGGGCUUUUGACGGGUCGCAAAAGGAUGUCAUUGGAGAAAUUUAUUUGGCACUGCAGAGUGGACCAAUUGAGUUUCCCAUACUAUUCCAAGUGAUGUAUAUUUCAUCUUCAUAUAACUUAUUACUAGGAAGACCUUGGAUACACAUGGAGGGGGCAGUACUAUCUACCCUACACCAAUGUAUGAAGUUCGAAUGGGGGUGUCAACAGAUCGUAGUCCACGACGAAUGGAGCCAAUCAGCUUAUCUGGAACACACAGUCCCGUUCAUAGAAGGAUUAGACGGGGUCGCUUUCCAUGCAGUAGAGUUCAUGCAGACCACCGAAAUAGAAGAGACUAAGCAAAACCUAAGAAUGCAGUCAUCAUAUAGAUCAAAGAUGGCCAUGAGGAAAAUGAUGAAAUACAGAUACAGUCCAAGAACCGAGCUGGGAGCCCAAUCAGACAGGAUAAUAGAGCUGAUUGAGCCAUAUGGGCAGAAAGGAAGAGUCGGCCUACGGUAUCAGCCAUCGACUGAGAAGGCGUGUAUCGGUAGCUUCGGGAAAAAGGAGAUUUUAUGCCAGAGCGUUUAUCGGGUACGUGUUAGAGCUCAGUGCCAGAUGACGACAUCGUCGAUGGAAUGGAAAGGCUGUUCGUGACCAUACUUGAGGAAUGUUGUGAAGGAAUUUAUAUUAUGUCACCGACCAUUCGGGAAUCUGAACUAGGAGAGGACUUGCAGAAUUCGACUGUUAGCCCGUCAUUGGUUCGCCAAGAGUCUUGGUAGUGUGGAAUUAUAAAUGUUUUGAAAAGAGCGCACGGUCAAUUGAGGCUCGGACCGUGUCUGUAGUUUUUUGUUAUUUGCCUCUUUGAACGCUCAGACGUUGCUCUUUUGAUGAAAGAAAAGAAUUGCUUUCUUAAAAUUAUUGCAAAUUUAUUUAUUGCUUCAUUUAUACUUUGUUUUUCUUUUCAGUAAUCAAAACGAUAAAAACCUGCAUUCGCGAUUAUGACAUAUAACGAAACCCUCGAGCAAAGCGAUCCAACUUACGAGGAGUACGAUGAGAGUAUGAUGCCAGAUAAUCUCCCAAGAGAGAUCGAACAACUGGAAAGCCAGAGAAAGCCUAAGCUUGAAGAGACAGAAGUGGUCAACCUCGGAAGCGAAGAAGAUAUAAAAGAAACCCGAAACAACAUCCAUCUAGAAGUAGAGCAGAAUGAAGAAUUGGUUAAGCUCCUCCGAAGUACAUUGAUAUAUUCACAUGGUCGUAUGAUGACAUACCUGGGUUAAGUACUGAUAUUGUUCGCACCGAUUGCCUAUCGAUCAUGCUAGACCACCAGUCAAACAAAAACCCAUAAAAUUCAAACUAGACUUGAGUUUAAGGAUAAAGGAAGAAGUAACCAAGCAAAUAGAGGUGAAUGUAGUGAGGGCAAUAAAUUAUCCCACAUGGUUGGCGAAUAUCGUCCCAGUGCCCAAGAAGGAUGGAAUGAUCAAGAUAUGUGUAGAUUAUCGAGAUUUCAACAAAGCCAGCCUAAAAGACAAUUUCUUUUUACCUAAUAUACAUAUCCUCAUCGACAAAUACGUGAAGCAUGAACUGCAUUCGCUCGUGGAUUGUUUCUCUGGGUACCACCAGAUCCGGAUGCACGAAAAAGAUGCAGAAAAGACAGAUUUUACUACACCUAGGGGAGUCUACUGCUAUAGAUUCAUGCCCUUCGGUCUCAAAAAUACUGGCGCUACUUACAUGAAGGCCAUGACAACCCUCUUUCACGACAUGAUUCACAAAGAGAUCGAGGAAUAUGUGGAUGACAUCAUCAUCAAGUCUCGGAAGAGUUCAAAACAUUUUGAUGAUAUUAGGAAGUUUUUCGAACGUUUGUGGAGGUAUAGUUUGAAGUUGAAUCCUGCAAAAUGCGCAUUCGGAGUCCCUGUUGGAAAAUUGCUAGGUUUCAUCAUUAGCAAAAAAGGGAUAGAGUUAGAUCCCUCAAAGAUCAAAGCUAUUCAAGAGUUGCCACCGCCCAAAAGUAAGAAGGAUGUGAUGAGUUUCAUGGGUAGAUUGAAUUACAUCAGCCGUUUCAUAGCCGAGUCUACAGUAAUUUGUGAACCUAUCAUUAAGCUGUUGAAGAAACAUGCUGCCACAAAAUAGACAGAAGAGUGUCAGAAAGCCAUCAACGGAAUUAAGGAGUAUUUGUCAAAUCCGCUAGUGUUGGUUCCUCCCGGGCCUAGGAAGCCACUGUUGCUGUGCCUGCCGGUCUUGGACAAUAUUUUGGAUGUGUUGGGACAACAUGACGAAAGCGGAAGACAGAGUAGGCCAUCUACAACUUAAGCAAGAAAUUCACACCGUGUAAGGCCAAAUACACUUUGAUUGAGCGCACUUACUGUGCUUUGACUUGGAUCGCCCAGAAACUGAGGCAUUACAUGUUAGCAUACACCACGCAUUUGAUAUCCUGACUCGACCCGCUCAAGUAUAUCUUUCAGAAGCCAAUGCCUAUAGGAAAACUAGCUAAAUGGAAAAUUCUUCUCAGCGAAUUUGACAUUGUGCACAUAACACAGAAGGCCAUCAAAGGAAAAGCUUUAGCCAACCACCUUGUAGAGAAUCCAGUGGACAAGGAUUAUGAGUUGCGCACUGUGUACUUUCUCGACGAGGAAGUAUUGUUUGCCGGAGAAGAUAUUGCAGAGUCAUACCUUGGAUGGAGAAUGUUCUUCGACGGAGCGGCAAACUUCAAAGGAGUGGGAAUUAGGGAUGUCCUAAUUUCGGAAUCAGGACAAAACUAUCCAGCAUCAGCAAAGAUAAGGUUCCCUUGCACCAAUAAUAUGGUCGAAUACGAAGAGUGCAUCAUUGGGAUCAAGAUGGCAGUUGACAUGAACAUCAAAGAGCUCUUGGUCAUAGGGGAUUAUGAUCUAUUAAUACAUCAAGUCCAAGGGGAGUGUUCUACCAAGAAAGUUAAGAUCCUUCCAUACCUGCACUGUGUAAAAGAGUUAUGCAUGAAGUUCACAAAGCUCGAGUUUAAGCACGUUCCCAAGAUCCAUAAAGAGUUUGUCGAUACUCUUGCAACCCUAUCAUCCAUGAUUUAGCAUCUAGAUAAGAAUUACAUCGACCCUAUUGAGGUAAAAACCAGAGAUCAACAUGCAUACUACUUUCAUAUAGACGAAGAGCCAGAAUGUUGACCGUGGUACCACGAAAUGAAAAGGUUCCUCGAAACAUGAGAGUACCCAGAGAGUGCUACAGAUAGUCAAAAGUGAGCGCUCAGAAGGCUGGCAAAUCACUUUUUCCUCGACGAGGAAGCCCUGCAUAAAAUGACCCCAAACUUUGGUCUGUUGAGAUGUGUAGAUGCCGCUGAAGCAACCAAAUUGUUAGAAGAAAUACAUAUGGGAACAUGCAGACCCCACAUGAACGGCUUCACCUUAGCCAAGGGGAUUUCACGGGGAUUUCAUCUGGGUUCCGCCUAAUGAGUUCAAUGUAAUGGGUUCGCGUUGGCCGCUCGCCGCUGUGAUUGGACCUAUAGAGCCCGCCACAUAAAAUGGGCACCGUUUCAUCUUAGUAGUCAUUGACUGCUUCACCAAAUGAGUCGAAGCAUCUACCUACAACACAGUCAUAAAGAAAGUGCUGGCAGAUGUUGUUCGUAACAACAUCGUCUGCCGAUUUGGGAUACCUGAGUCAAUCAUCACUGACAAUGCAGAUAAUGUCAACAGUGAUCUCAUGAGAGAAAUUUGUGAGAAGUUCAGAAUUGUCCAGCGCAACUCUACAGCCUACAGCUACAAAUGAAUGGAGCAGUUGAACCAGCCAACAAAAACAUCAAAAGGAGUCUGCGGAAGAUAGUGGACAAUAAUAGGCAAUGGCACGAGAAGUUAUCCUUCUCCUUACUAGGUUAUCGAACCACCACGAGGAUAUCCACUGGGGAAAUGCCAUACCUAUUGGUAUAUAGAACCGAAGUAGAGCGUUCUCAAGGCUGUUAGAAAAGUAUGGAGUUCGCCAUAAGGUUGCCACACCUUACCACCCGCAAAUGAACGGGCAAGUGGAAGUGUCCAAUAGGGAAAUCAAAAGUGUCCUGACCAAGACAGUGAAUGCGACUCGGACUAAUUGGGCAAGGAAGUUGGAUGAUGCGUUAUGGGCUUACCGCACAACAUUUAAAACUCUAAUUGGUAUGUCUCUGUAUAAGUUGGUGUUUGGAAAAGCAUGCCAUCUUUCGGUGGAGCUUGAGCAUAAAGCCUUAUGGGCACUGCGGCAGUUGAAUUUGGAUAUGGAAACCGCGGGCACAAGUAGACCUACAGAAUUACAUGAACUCGAGGAGUUCCCAUUCCAGGCAUUUUAGUGUCACGCCCCGACCUCGGUCGAGCAAGACUGUACAAUACCUUCUACCCAAACUUACUCAUAAAUAAAGAGAAGAUCUAUUUCAUUAAUUAGACAGUGAGGAGACUCAUGUGAACAACAACACCAAUUCAUUAUCAGCAGUUUCAUCAGCUAUAAGUUAUAAAAUACAUACACUUUCAUAGUUUUGUGCGGAACGUGUGAUGCAGUUACCAAAAUUACUAGUUUAUCUUUCUCAACACCGACAUACCACCCACACAAUAUCUACGGAGCCUCUAAUAGAUACAAAAGAGUAUGAUGAUAGUGCCGACAAUAAGGCCCCGGAUAUACCUCAAAACAUAAUACAUAAGGACAAAAUUUAUACGAUCCCGAAUGAGGUGGGGCUCACCAAGUCAGCUGGGGAGAGGGUGUACCGCUAUCAACGAUCAAAGCCGCCUGCUGUGGAACCACCUGCAUCCGUUUAAGACGCAGCGCCCCCGGCAAAAGGGACGUUAGUACAUGUGGAAUAGUACUAGUAUGAAUGAGUAAGCACCCUCUCAAUAGAACGAAUGAUGAAACAAGAAUGAACAAUCAUAAAAUCAAUGGGAAGUCUCAAACAAUACCCAAAACAUCAAGUUAGGAAUAAGACAAGGUUUCAAGUGAUUUCCAUAUUUUAAGUUGGGAGACCUUUAGUAUCGAUAUUCCAUCGUUUACAAUUUCCAACAUAGUCACCACCAUGUCUGCGGCAUGGCGUCUGAUCACAACCCGAUUGGCUAGGCCGUCUCAUACGAGACAUCAACCACAAUCACAAUUUCAAUUUCAAUUUCCAACACAAUCACCACCAUGUGUGCGGCAUGGCGUCCGAUCACGACCCGAUCGGCUAGGCCGCUGCAUCCGAGACAUUGUCCUCUUCUAUCAAUCAUCCCAUUUCAUACCUCUUUCACAUCUUUUUAUUUCAUUGGCACUAGUGGUCACAAUUGUAAUAUCCCCCUUUUGUGUGGCGUGUUGGCCAUAUUUCAUAUUUUAUAUUUUGUGCUUACCUUUUCACUUUCAACCAUCAUCAUUGAUUUUCAACAAGGCGUUUACGUUCAAGUCACUAAGCAUACAAGUUAGCAAACAAGAGUCUUAAGUGCAUUGAGAUUUCUUACACAAUUGGCAUUCGCUAUAAUUUGAAACGCAACAUGAGGCCAUAACAUUUAGCUAAGCAACCAAUAUUUUGAACACAUUACCAAAUAGUAGUACAACUUAACAAGAGCAUUGGGAAUACAUAUUGAACACAAAAGUCUUUUGACACAAAGUUUAUUCGGAAAAAUCGAUUCAUAAUGAGUAACUUGGGAAUUACAAUGACAUUGUGCGGUUCAAUUCUAUGGGAAGAGUUUAGCCAACAUACCUCACUUGAUCUUCCUUAAAUACUAAAAUGUUCCGAAAAUUAUAGCAACUUCGAUCUAUUUCAGAAUUAUAACAAAUUGAACCAAAAAUUAGGAAGAUGAUCAUGGUUCCAGCUCAUUUGAGCGUUUUAUCAAACACUAGGUGUGCAUUAAGAUUUCAAGGCCCUACAAUGGUGGAUUCCAUCAUCCACCCGUUAUCUACCAUUUUUAGCCCAAUAAUCGUCCUACACCCUUAGAUAACACAUGCAUGCAAGAGGGACAACUACCAUACCCAAGAAUUUCCUUACUAAUUACCUAUUUUUAGUUAAAUUUCGAAAUUGAGGGUUAGGGUAUAGAAUCUUACCUCUAGGAUGAAGACCUAGUAUUUUUUCCUUGUUAAUCUUCCAAGAUUUGAGUAAGAAUUGAAGAACAAUUAGUUGAGGAACUCUCUCCCUCUCUAGAGCACUUUCUCACUCUCAAAAUGUCAGGUUCUUAUUUAAGAAACGGUCCAUGGAGUCUAUAUAACGAAAUGGGGUCGGGUUAUAAAAACCAAAAAAAUGAAGCUCUGAAACACAAUCUGCGGUCGCAUAAUAAUUUUGCGGUCCGCGAAAUGGACCGCGAAAUGGCCCUCUGGAACUGGGCAUCGCUGCCUGGGUAUGCGGCUGUUCUGCGGUCCGCAUAUCGAUUAUGCGGUGCAAAGCGGACCGCAGAAUCUCCUCCCAGAAUUCCUCAUGUCGAUCCUGCGAUGCAAUCUGUGGACCGCAUAAUGGCCCACAAAUUUUGCUUCAGUUUCAACUUCACUCUGUGGCCAUUCUGCGACCGCAUAGUGGGCCGCAGAAAUGUUUUUUUCUGCCAACAUUUUCCUUUAACUCCCUAGCGCACUGUUCAACCCAAAAAGUCCGUACCGCGGCGAGCAAGCUCGUUGCGAAGAACUUCUACCAUCACCAAACAUAUUAGCCUACCUCGUUACCACGGAACCUCGGGUUUUAGGUGAAAUUUUAUAGGGACUUAUAUCCUCCCCCACUUAAGAUCAUUCAUCCUCGAAUGAGGGUCUAAAUCCGUCAUUAGUACUCAACAUGACCCAGCUGUUACUUCACACACACUAGUAGUCCCAAUUUUUGACUAACUCCCCAAAUUCCCAAAAUGUUCGGCAGAGUUUCCCUUGUAACUGGCCUAUCCACCUGUCAGAGAAUCCCAGAAACCAAUCCUAACAACAUGUACAUAAUCCAACGAUGCAACAUAUUAUGAAACAACACCAACCGUGGCCUCAUAAGCAAUAUAUUCCCAGAAAGGAAAUAUCCUGCCUGUACAAGUGAUACCUAGUUCAUAGGAAUUAAUUUCAUGGAAACUAUUACAUAGCUAUUCAAAUAAAUGAGGGUACUUCUUUUUCAUUUCUUCCUCGGCCUCCCAGGUGGCCUCUUUAACCUGUUGGUUUCGCCAUAACACUUUCACGGAGGCAAUUUCUUUAUUUCUUAGAUUUCGGACUUGCCUAUCAAGAAUGGCAACUGAAAUUUCUUCAUAGGUCAGUUCUUCAUAUACCUCAAUAGUCUCUACUAGCACAAUAACCGACGGAUCUCCAACCACCUUCUUUAACAUAAACACAUUGAAUACCGGGUGCACUAAUGACAUCUCAGGUGGUAGCUCAAGCUUGUACGCCACCUGACCAAUCCUUUGAAUGUUUAUGUACGGUCCGACAUACCCCGGACUCAAUUUCCCUUUCUUACCAAACCGCAUUAUACCCUUCAUGGGGGAAACCUUCAAGAAUACCCAAUCAUCUUCUUUGAACUCCAAAUAUCUGCGACGAACGUCCUUAUAGGACUUUUGACGACUCUGAGCUUUUUUCAACCGAUCCUUAAUGACCUUAACCUUCUCCAUAGCCUGGUGCAUGAGGUCUGGUCCUAUCGAUUCUGCUUCCCCAAUAUCGAACCACCCAAUAGGAGAUCUACAUCUCCUACCAUAUAAAGCCUCGAAUGGUGCCAUCUGAAUACUAGCAUGGUAACUGUUGUUGUAGGCAAAUUCUAUGAGUGGCAAAUGAUCGUCCCCGCUGCCCUUGAAGUCAAGAACACAAGCGCGCAACAUAUCCUCAAGCGUCUGAAUAGUCCGCUCUGCCUGCCCGUCAGUCUACGGGUGAAAGGUUGUACUAAGAUUCACCUGAGUACCCAAACCUUGCUGAAAUUUCUUUCAAAAAUUAGCCGUGAACUGUGCCCCUCGAUCCGAAAUGAUAGAAACUAGAGUGCCAUGCAACCUGACUAUUUCCUUGAUAUACAACUGAGCAUAUUGUUCCGCUGUGUCGGUAGAUUUAACUGGCAAGAAGUGUGUUGACUUCAUGAGUCGAUCCACAAUCACCCAAAUCGAGUCGAAUUUGCGAGGAGUGCGAGGUAGUCCUACCACAAAGUCCAUGUUAAUCAUUUUCCACUUCCACAUUGGAAUUUCAAUGCUCUACGCCAACCCACCGGGCCUUUGGUGUUCGGCCUUCACUUGCUUACAAUUGGGACAUCUUUCCACAAAGUCCGCUAUGUUCAUCUUCAUAUCGUUCCACAAAUAGACUUCUCUAAGAUCAUGAUACAUCUUUGUAGAGCCAGGUGCACGGAAUACCUAGAAGUUUGAGCCUCAGUCAUGAUUCUUUAACGGAGAUCAUCAACAUUUGGAACACAUAGUCGCCUUUGGAACCUUAGUGUACCAUCAUCCAUGCCAAGAGAAAAGGCCAUGGUCUUAUGUUUUUGAACCCCCGCCUUCAAUUGUACCAACAAUAGAUCGUUGAAUUGCUUCUCUUUGACUUCCACCACAAGCGACGAUUCAGCCCUAUUUUGCACACUCACCCCUCCUUCACUAGAGUCCGCAAGGCGAACUUCUAAACUAGCCAACCGAUGAACCUCCUUAGCCAACGGCCUUUGAUAUGCCUCCAAGUAAGCAAAACUGCCCAUAGAUUUUCGGCUAAGAGUAUCCGCCACAACAUUGACCAUCCCCGGGUGAUACAGGAUGUCGAUGUCAUAAUCCUUGAGUAACUCAAGCCAUCUUCUUGUUACACCCCAUAUUUUCGUAUGUGGAAGUUCGCCAUAAAUAAAUUGAUGAAAGCUCGAAAAUGAGAUGUUACAUCCCGCAUUUUUUUUGUACAUUAAAGUUUUGUCGUAAGUUAAUCGAUGUAAGCUCGAGAAUGAGAUUAUUUUGAGAUUAUAAGUAUUAUGUUAUUUCAAACAAGGGAUAAGUAAAUUCAUGAAGGCGAGAGGGUAAGCGAAUCGAAGAAAAUAAAUUUCGUCGAAGUUUGACAUUUUGGGAUAUAAUACGGCCCGAGCUAAAAUACCCGAUAUUUAUGGACUAGUGCCAUACAAGGUACCACAUGACCAUGAUAGUAAGAUGUAUAAAGUAUGACAAAAGUGAGUAGUAUUUUAAGUAAUUUGAGAUAAUUCUUAAUUAUGUGGAUUUUUGGUUAAUUGCGGAUUUUUGAUGGAAGAUUAACCAUGUAAUUAAGGAAAUGGGUGGAUAAACUUUGGAUAAGCUUAAAUCCACCCCAACGUGGCAGCAACCCAUGUCUAAAGUAAUGACUAUUGAAUUACAAAACAAGGUGUCAUAUUUAGAGGAAAUUGUUGGCCAAGUAAGCCUUAUAAAGUGGGUCCUACAUCCAUUAUAAUAAAAGACAUCUCUAACAAAGAGAGAUACAUCUCUAACAAAGAGAGAUGAUAUGAAAUGUGAGAUUUCCAUAAGAAAUUUUCAGCAAGGUUCAUUCCCCAUUUCAAAAAUGAAAGUAUACUAUGCACUUAGCCCUAAAAAACAUGGAAAGAAUGACUAUGUUAGUCAUCUUUACAAUUGUAUUCAAUUGAUAUCAAAAAUCCAUUUUUGGAGGAGAUUUUGGAGUUCAUAUGGUACUUUAUGUUAAAAUAGCAACGACAGUUCUUAAAAUUGUGAAGAAAUUCAUACGAAAUUAUACUGCGUAAUAGUGACGGGAUUUUGCGAUUCUAAAGGAGUACGGUGCAACCUUUUCCAAGAAUAUCAUAUGAAUUUUUUCCUACUCCAUGUAUGUUAAGGCUAUCCCUUAUUUCUUUUGGCAUGAUCCAUAUGACACAAACGAAACGAGAAAAUGCACAAUUUUCAUAUACGACUCUAUUCAUAGAAAUAUUAGAGAUGCUUAUGUUCUUGAUUCCCCACGUGUCAUGUUAUUUUAUNNNNNNNNNNNNNNUNAGUCAUUUACUCUAUAUUUCUUCCAUGUCUAUUUUGUACUUAUUUAUGUGCCUUACAUACUCGGUACAUCAUUUGUGCUGACGUCCCUUUUGUCUGGGGACACAACGUUUUAUUUGCUAUCAAAUACACCACCACUUGACACAUUUCAUUUCAUAGACAGGUCGAGAGUCCUCCAAAUAGGCUAUCAGCUCAGCGGAAGGUUUUGCUGCGCUCCAUUUGCUCCGGAGUUGCUUAUGUGGUCAAUAUGAUUAGGACAUGUACUGAUUAGUAUGUCGGGGCCGUGUCCCGACCUUUAUGACAUUUAUGUACUCUUAGAGGUUUGUAGACAUAUGUCGAAUACGUGAAAGAUUGUACGGCCUUGUCGGCCUAUGUUUUGAGUUUAUAAAUGAUCAUGUUGGCCUAUUAGGCCCGUAUGUCACAUGUAUAUGAUGAUGUAAUAAGAAAGAUACGUUACGUUGGUACUCGGUUGAGUAAGGUACCGGGUGCCCGUCGUGGCCCAUCGGUUUGAGUCGUGACACUUCUCUGCCUCAAAUUCAAUUCCUUCUGUUUGAAAAUAUAUUGAAGGCUCUUAUGGUCCGUGAAUACAUCCACAUGGACCCCAUACAAAUAAUGACGCCAAAUCUUCAAUGCAAAGACCACCGCUGCAAGCUCUAAGUCUAUGUGUUGGAUAGUUCUUUUCAUGAUUUUUGAGUUGCCUAGAAGCAUACGCUAUCACCUUUCCAUGUUGCAUUAAUACACACCCAAGUCCGAUCCUUGAAGCAUCGCACUAUACCAAAAACCCAUCCGUACCAUGUAGUUAAUCUUGAUUUCAACUCUUGGAAUCUCCUUUCACAAGCAACUGACCAUUGGAAUUUAACCGCCUUCUACGUCAAUUUAGUCAACGGAGAGGCAAGAGUGGAGAACCCCUCCACAAAUUUCAUGUAAUAUCCAGCUAAGCCCAAGAAACUGCGAAUCUUUGUUGGAGUAGUAGGUCUAGGCCAAUUCUUCACGACUGAAUUUUCUGGGGGUCAACCUCAAUUCCUUAUCUAGAGACAACAUGACUCAAGAAUGUAACAGAUUCGAGCCAAAAUUCACAUUUCGAAAACUUAGCAUAUAAUUGGUAUUGAUACAGAGACUACAAAACUGCCCUGAGAUGAUCGGCAUGAUCCUCCCGACUCCGCGAAUAAACAAGAAUAUCGUCAAUAAACAUAAUCACAAAGGAGUCGAGGAAAGGUUUGAAGACCCGAUUCAUAAUAUCCAUGAAAGCUGCGGGGGCAUUUGUUAGCCCGAAAGACAUUACAAGAAAUUCAAAGUGCCCAUACCGUGUCCUAAAAGCUAUUUUCGGAAUAUCAUGCUCCUUGAUCUUCAACUGGUGAUACCCGGAUCUUAAAUCGAUCUUGUAGAAGUACUUAGCACCCUGCAAUGUGUCAAACAAGUCAUCUAUCAUUGGUGUGGGUACUUAUUUUAUAUUGUAACCUUAUUGAGCGGCCGAUAGUCAAUACAGAUUCUUAGCGACCCAUCCUUCUUUCUUACAAAUAGAACUGGUGCGCCCCAAGGCGACACACUCGGCCGGAUGAAACCCUUCUCUGACAAAUCUUUCAAUUGUUCUAUUAGGUCUUUCAAUUCUGCCGGUGCCAUUCUGUAGGGUGGAAUAGAUAUAGGCUGCGUGCCUGGCAUCACAUCAAUACCAAAAUCAAUCUCCCUAUUUGCCGGGAUCCCAGGGAGCUCAAGUGUAGGUGCCUCAGCAUCGGUGUCCGUAACCCCGACCAAAUGGUAGAUACACCCCUUGUAAAUCAUCUUUGUGGCCUUAAGGUAAGAAAUAAACCUACCCUUUGGAACCACAUUAUCCCCCUUCCAUUCAAUUACUGACUCGGUUGGAAAUUCACACCUAACGGUUCUGGUGCGACAGUCAAGCUUAGCGAAACAUGAAUAAAGCUAAUCCAUCCCCAUUAUUACAUCAAAAUUGACCAUCCCCAAUUCAAUGAGAUCGGCCAUGGUUUCUCGACCACGCACCGUGAUAACACAACCCCUAUACACCCGCGCGACCACAAUAGACUCACCAACCAGAGUAGAUACAGAGAACGACUCAUGGAGCAGUUCCGGUUCUAUCCCAAAUUCCAUAGCAACAUAGGGAGUAACAUAGGACAAAGUGAAACCGGGAUCAAUAAGAGCAUACACAUCAUGAGAUUGGACAGUCAAUAUACCUGUGACAACAUCUGGAGAAGCCUCUGCACUCUGGCGACCGCUCAUAGCAUAGAAACAGUUGGGUCCUCUCGAACUCUGCGUACCACCCCUAGCUGCACCAGACCUUGCGGGUGCUGGAGUGCCUGGGGCUGGAGGAGGUGCUGAGGACGUAGUAGCUACAGAACUAGCUGGCUGUGCUGUACCCCUUCCCACACCCUGGCGGGGCGAACGACAAUCCCUUUGAAUGUGACCCCUCAAUCAACACCCGUAGCAUAUGUGUAGGUCAAUGUAAUAGAUUUCCAAGUGCAUCUUCCCACACCUAGGGCAUGGGGGCCUCCGCUGCUGCUGGAAACUCCCACCAGACUGACCCUGUUGGUAGGAUCCCCUGUUGCCCUGACCGGGCCUAAAACGACUCCACUGCUGCUGACUAGGCCCCGAUGGCGGUGCACUGACUGAAGAAUAAGAAAAAGACUGGGAUGGCACUGAUGACCCUCCCCUGAAUGUUUACCUGCCACCACCACCAAAAGAACCAUCUAAGUUUCCCGCAGACCGGGCCUUACUGCUACCCUCACGCUCCAUUAUGUUCUUCAACUUACGAUUCUCUGUAGCUUCAGAAAAUGCCACCAUCUUCCCAUAGUUCAUAUCAGAAUUCAAGGCAGCUGUGGCGGCCUCAUUGAUAACCAAUGGGCUAAGGCCCUGCACAAACCGGUGCACUCUAGCCUCCAUAGUGGGCAUCAUGUGAAUAGCAUACUUGGACAAGCGCGUGAACUCCAUAUGGUACUCCCACACUCUUGCUACCUUGUUUUAGGUUCUCAAGCUCAGCAGAACGGGCUUCCUUAGUCUGGGGAAGCAAGAUAUGAUCCAUGAAAGCGUCGGCAGACUCACUCCACCUUGCCUGAAGGCUCCCCUCCUCACGGGAGAGUUCUCCCACAUCUCAAACCAUGAAUAGGCCACACCUUUUAGGUGGUAGGAGGCCAAAUCCACUCCCUCUGUCUCAGUAGCAUACAUAUCUCUGUGGGUCUUAUGCAUCUCAUCGAUGAAAUCCUGGGGGUCCUCCUCGGGAUCAGUACCAGUGAACACUGGAUGAUCUAACUGAAGAAACCUAUUCACCGUAGAACAAGUAGAGUCCCCUUGCUGACUAGAAGAAGUGGGUGCGACAUUCGACCUCUAGGCCUAGGAAGUCACUAUUUGAGCCAUCAUCUGUAUGGCACCCAUAAGAUCCCCAUCAGAAACAUCGAGACCGGAAGCUGGGGCUGGAGGUGGAACCGGAAUAUUAGUUGGAGGAUUCAUUGAACCCUCAUCAGGUGUAGGAACUAGUGCAGCCUGAGCAGGAAUAGUAGAACCCUUAUCAGGUGUAGGAACUAGUGCAGUGGUGUAGUAAUUGGGGGAAUAUUCUCACCCCUCGGGUGUUCACCCGCAUCAUCAAUGAUAGAAUCAACCGCCAUUCCUGGGGUAACAUCGGCUCCUUGGCCAGUUCUUGCCUUCUUCCUAGGCGCCAUUUACUGAAAGUUAGAGUAAUACACGAGUUAAAGGAGGAACAAUCGAAUAUUCAGCUUUAUCGUACGAUCAAGAACAUCAAAGAAGGGUAUUAUUCCUAAAUGUCCAAGUAGCCUCCUAAUUAUAGAUGUGGUCGACAAUACACCGAUAAGAAGGACUCUACUAGACACGGCUCUGAGACAUCCUAAGACACUUUAAAACCUUAGGCUCUGAUACCAAGUUUGUCACGCUUCGACCUCGGGGAGCGCGACCGGCGCUCAAUAGAGAUAACCCGGACGAGCAAGCCUAUACAGUACCUUCUACCCAAACUCACUCAUGAAUAAAGAGAAUAUCUAUUUCAUUAAUUAGAUAGUGAGGAGAUUCAUGUCAACAACAACACCAAUUCAUUAUCAGCAGUUUCAUCAGCUAUAAGUUUCAGAAUACAUACACUUUCAUAGUUUGGUGCGGAACGUGUGAUGCAGUUACCAAAAUUACUAGUUUGACAUUCCCAACACUUACAUACCACCCACACAAUAUCUACGAAGCCUCUAAAAGAUACAAAAGAGUACGAUGAUAGUGCCGGCAAUAAGGCCCCGGCUAUACCUCAAAACAUAAUACAUAAGGACAAAAGAUAUACGACCUCGAAUGAGGUGGGGCUGACCAAGUCAUCUGGGGAGAAGUUGUACCGCCUGCUGUGAAACCACCUGCUGUGGAACCACCUGCAUCCAUUUAAGAUGCAGCGCCCCCGGCAAAAGGGACGUUAGUACCUGUGGAAUAGUACUAGUAUGAAUGACUAAGCACUCUCUCAAUAGAACGAAUGAUGAAACAAGAAUGAACAAUCAUAAAAUCAAUAGGAUACUCAAACAAUACCCAAAACAUCAAGUUAGGAAUAAGACAAGGUUUCAAGUGAUUUCCAUAUUUUAAGUUGGGAGACCUUUAGUAUCGAUAUUCCAUCGUUUACAAUUUCCAACACAGUCACCACUAUGUCUGCGGCAUGGCGUCCGAUCACAACCCGAUUGGCUAGGCCGUCUCAUAUGAGACAUCAACCACAAUCACAAUUUCAAUUUCAAUUUCCAACACAAUCACCACCAUGUGUGCGGUAUGACGUCUGAUCACGACCCGAUCGGCUAGGCCGCUGCAUCCGAGACAUUGUCCUCUUCUAUCAAUCAUCCCAUUUCAUACCUCUUUCACAUCUUUUUAUUUCAUUGGCACUAGUGGUCACAAUUGUAAUAUCCCCUUUUUGUGUGGCGUGUUGGCCAUAUUUCAUAUUUUAUAUUUCGUGCUCACCUUUUCACUUUCAACCAUCAUCAUUGAUUUUCAACAACAAGGCAUUUACGUUCAAGACACUAAGCAUACAUGUGAGCAAAAAAGAGUCUUAAGUACAUUGAGAUUUCUUACACAAUUGGCAUUAGCUAUCAUUUGAAACGCAACUUGAGGCCAUAGCAUUUAACUAAGCAACCAAUACUUUGAACACAUUAACAAAUAGUAGUACAACUUAACAAGAGCAUUGGGAAUACAUAUUGAACACAAAAGUCUUUUGAUACAAAGUUUAUUCGGAUUAAUCGAUUCAUAAUGCGUAACUUGGGACUUACAAUGACAUUGUGGGGGUUAAAUUCUAAGGGAAGGUUAUAACCAACAUACCUCACUUGAGCUUCCUUAAACUCUAAAAUGUUUCGGAAAUUUUAGCAACUUCGAUCUAUUUCAGAAAUAUAACAAAUUGAACUAAAAAUUAGGAAAAUGAUCAUGUUUUCAACUCAUUUGUGCGUUUUAUCAAACACUAGGUGUGUAUUAAGGUUUCAAGGCCCUACUAUGGUGGAUUCCAUCAUCCACCGGUUAUCUACCAUUUUUAUCCCAAUAAUCUUCCUACACCCAUAGAUAACACAUGCAUGAAAGAGGGACAACUCCUAUACCCAAUAAUUGCCUUACUAAUUACCUAUUUUUUGUUAAUUUUCGAAAUUGAGCGUUAGGGUGUAGAAACUUACCUCUAGGAUGAAGACCAAGUGUGUUUUCCUUGUUAAUCUUCCAUGAUUUGAGUAAGAAUUGAAGAAUAAUUGGUUGAGAAACUUUCUCCCUCUCUAGAGCACUUUUUCACUCUCAAAAUGUCAGGUUCUUACUUAAGAAACGGUCCAUAGAGUCUAUAUAACGAAAUGAGGUCGGGUUAUAAAAAUCAAAAAAAUAAAGCACCGAAACACAAUCUGUGGUCGCAUAUCGGGUUAUAAAAACCAAAAAAAUGAAGCUCUCAAACACAAUAUGCGGUCGUAUAUGAGACCGCAUAAUGCUUCUGCGGUACGCAAAAUGGCCCUCCGGAACUGGGCACCGCUGCCUAGGUAUGCGGCCGUUCUGCGAUCCGCAUAUCGAUUCUGCGGUCACAAAGUGGACCGGAGAAUCUCCUCCGGGAAUUCGUCAUGUCAAUCUUGCGAUGCAAUCUGCGGCCCCCCAAAGUAAUUUUGUGGCAGCAUAAUGGCCCACAAAUUUUACUCAAGUUUCUUCUUCACUCUGCGACCAUUCUGCGGCCGCAUGUCUCUUUCUGCCAACAUUUUCCUUUAAGUCCCUAUCGCACUGUUCGACCCUAAAAGUCCGUACCGCGACGAGCAAGCAUGCUGAGAAGAAUUUCUACCAUCACCAAAAAUAUUAGCUUACCUCACCACCAUGGAACCUUGGGUUUUACGUGAAAUUUUACGGGGCCUUACACCCAGAGUACAAGAUUGUAUAAGGAAAGGAUGAAGAUAAUGCAUGAUAAGCACAUGCUAGAUAGGAACUUCAAAACCGGAGAUCUAGUGUUAUUAUACAACUCGAGAUUGAGAUUAUUUACGAGCAAGCUGAAAUCUAGAUGGUCGGGACUAUUUAGAGUUGUGCAAGUGUUCCCAAGUGGAGCGGUAGAAAAUUGAGUCCGAAGAUGGAACAAACAAGUUUAAAAUGAAUGGGCAAAAGUUGAAACACUACCUUGGAAUGAUUGAAGGAAGAGGGGAGAAAGAUGUGACUUACUUGGAAGAGACUAAUAUGUGAGUGAAGUGUAAUCCUAAAAGGCUGCGUCGUGCUGCGACGUUAAAUCAGACGCUUUUUGGGAGGCAACCCAUGGUCGUGUUGUAUUCGUCAUGCCAUGACGUUAACUAAGGUGAUUAUUGGCAGGCAACCCAAUUCGUAGCAUAGAUUUAGUUUAGUUUUUGUUUUUGUUUGAUAUUGAGGCAGAUUAACAAGUGAAUUUUGUGUGUAACUAUCGUGUUUUUCUAGGUAGUGGAGCUACUUGGAAGAACGUUGCCCUCGGGAGUCCAAAAUAAGCUAAAAGAUUGAAAAAUCAGACCUGGAAACAUCGAGCCAUCGCGUGAUAAAGUUAAAGGCUUUACCAUAGAGCACCUCAAACAACUUAGCAUCGAAAUAUUAUUGCCCCUCACGCUGCCUCGCCGUGUCUAGCACGUGACUGUUAGCGCCCCUCACACUGCCUUGCAGCCUUCAAACGCUGCCUCUCAUGCAGCCUUGCGCAGUCCAGAGUGCUAAGGCUGGCGCACCUCACACUGCCUCGCGACUUCCAUAUCGCACGCCUCACGUUGCCUUGCACUGCCCCGAGCAUCGAGGGCCAGGUAAGUAUAAUUGUAGUUUGCUAAUUUGUGAUCUUGUUAAUAUUCCUAGAAGUUUUGUUCUAUAAUGAAAAUCUGUAACCCUGCUAAUGCCUCAGAAAUCCUGAUUGUAGUUUAGUAUUUAUGAUAGUACCAGUGGAAGUUCUAAUUAUGGUUACUUCUUUGAACCUCUGUCAAUACUAUUAGAAGGGUCUAAUUGAAAUCAUCAACCUAUGUCUCUUAAUUGAAGUUACUGAUCUGUAUUUCCAAUUGAAGUUGUUGACCUAUCUCUGCAUUAGCACUCCUUAGAGAGCAUCAAUUGUAGUGAUAAACCUGUAAUGUUGUUAACAGUCUUCACGAGUCUUUAUUAUGAUUAUUAACCUUGCCCUCUCUUAAUCCCCUUUAGAAGUUAAUUCAAGCUGUUAGCCAUAUCUUUGUUAAUACUUUUAGAAGUCCCAAUUAGGACUGUUAACCUAUGUGUGCAUUAGAAAACAAGACCCAAGUUAAAACUAAUAUGUGAUUAGUCUAAUUAAAGGUUGUUAAGGCAGAUGCACCUGUUCAUAAACUAUUGCAGACUUGAACUAUGUGCUCUCUCUAUCCUUAAUAUAUAUGACCUCAGGUGUUUGGUUCUUUAACAGUAGUGUGAUAAUGUCUCCGCCUCUAUCUAUGUUUGAAGCUUAUUUGUUUUGAACUUGCUUAACAUGUUAACCAUCUAUUUAGUUUUGGAGAUAUGAUUAUGAUAAUGUAGAUAAAUUGUCUUGUAGUCUUAUAAUUUUCUCUUUGGCCCUCAUGGGAAAGGAAUAUACUUUUGUGAUAUGGUAUUACUGUGGUGAUUGGAUUAACAUUGAAAGUGCCUCGUUGGCACUUAAACUUGUGGGGAAGAGCGAGUGUGAGUGGUUAGGGGUAUUUGGGAGUACAUAUUCACUUUUGGUUGGGCUACUCUCCCUGACACAAGCAUUGCCCUGGGCCUUGAGACCCUUGGGAACUUUGAAGUGUCAGGGAUCCAAAGGGACUUUGACCUUGAGUGGAACUCUACCCUAAGCCUCUAAUCUAUUGACAUUCAUUACUCUUUUUAGGUUUAGUGUUUAAUGAAAACGAAAGAUUUUCAAUGUGAAUCACUUCACCAUAUGUGACCCCACAUUAGUAUAAGCUUUAAUAAUUUCCAAUUAUUAUUAGUUGUUAUUUAUUCAAUUCAUUUACUUAUAUAUUUUUAUGUGCAUAGAAUAUUAUAUCUAAUAACGUUCUCUCUCUUUUGAAUAUGUGCAACAAUUGGGCCUGCUGAGUUCUCAAAAGAACUCGUGCCCAAAUCUCGUACCAGUGCAUCUGAAAAUCCGAAGUUCACUACUGUCCGUUCCUGCUGAUUGCUGGGCCUAUCUCUUUCACGCCCGAGCCAGAGUCACUCGUUACCCCUUUACUGCUUUAUUACAUCCUGUUAUUUAUAAUCUCUCACGUGUAUAUGGCAUUACAGUCAUCAUGUUUGAUUUAAUGUUUUUCUUUAUCCUUUGAAUCACAUAAACAACUUAGGCAAGCCUUCAAGGACAUAGGAUUAAAAGGAACAUUAGGCUUAAUAGCAACUAGUUCUCAUUCGUUAAUCUUAUUCUACUGACGCCAUUAAUCUCUUAUGUUUUACUAACAUUUCAUGAUGAUUUUAAAGCCAAAAUAGCUUAGUAAAGGACGGCAGUCCCUCUUUCAAAAAGAAAAACUAAAAAUGAAUUUCAAGACUGGCCUUCUAAAAGAAAUCGAACCUUUCAGAACAAAGUGUUGUCGCCCAGCGAAAGAUUUUCAAAUGAUUUCCUCAAGUCUAAGUAUUAAGGUUUUGAAAGCCAAGGUACAUCUUAGGCUUACAACAUCUUUAUCUAAUUAGAGUUACAUGAAUAGUCACAUUCUUUGAAUACAAAGUGUUUUCUAACUUAGCCCCUUUUACAUAUUUCAUAAAUAUAAAUUAUCAUGUACAUAUUAUAAAAACUCUUUCAAUUAUAUAUAGAUAUAAACAUUAUUUUCCAACACUCCUUUACAAACUCAUAUCCUUUUUAAACCGCACACUCCUUUUAUAAAUAUCAUAUUCUCAUUUAGAUGUAUAUGGUAGGCCAUACCCCCUUAAUCACUAAUUAAGCAGAAUGCAAAAAACUAAUCCUUUAAACCUAGUAUAAGUCCUAUGGAGCUACCUCAGAUAGAUUUUAAGGGGUGACUAACACCUUUCGUUUAGAAGAAAAAGAACCCUUACCCACAAUCUCACCGAUUAGCAAACUAAUAAAGAAAAUGACCUUAGUUGUAACGAUUCGACCGGUCGUUUUGAGCUCUAGCGCGUCGUUCAGUGGUUUGAGGCCCUAAGCANNNNNNNNNNNNNNNNNNNNNNNNNNNNNNNNNNNNNNNNNNNNNNNNNNNNNNNNNNNNNNNNNNNNNNNNNNNNNNNNNNNNNNNNNNNNNNNNNNNNNNNNNNNNNNNNNNNNNNNNNNNNNNNNNNNNNNNNNNNNNNNNNNNNNNNNNNNNNNNNNNNNNNNNNNNNNNNNNNNNNNNNNNNNNNNNNNNNNNNNNNNNNNNNNNNNNNNNNNNNNNNNNNNNNNNNNNNNNNNNNNNNNNNNNNNNNNNNNNNNNNNNNNNNNNNNNNNNNNNNNNNNNNNNNNNNNNNNNNNNNNNNNNNNNNNNNNNNNNNNNNNNNNNNNNNNNNNNNNNNNNNNNNNNNNNNNNNNNNNNNNNNNNNNNNNNNNNNNNNNNNNNNNNNNNNNNNNNNNNNNNNNNNNNNNNNNNNNNNNNNNNNNNNNNNNNNNNNNNNNNNNNNNNNNNNNNNNNNNNNNNNNNNNNNNNNNNNNNNNNNNNNNNNNNNNNNNNNNNNNNNNNNNNNNNNNNNNNNNNNNNNAUUUGAAGGUUCCAACAGGUUCGUAUGAUGAUUUUGGACUUGGGCAUAUAUGUUCGGAUAGGGUUUUGGAUGACCCAAGAGCGUUUCAGCGCCUAUUGUGGAAGUUGGCAUUUUGGAAGAAUUUCAUAAAAAUUAGGUUGAGGUGUAUUUCAAUGUUAUCGAUGUCCGUUUGGGAUUCCGAAUCUGGGAAUAGCUCAGUAUCGUGAUUCUGGUAUUGGGAGCGCAUCCGGAAGUGAAUUUGGAGGUCCGUAGGUCAUUUUGUUGUCAUUUGGCGAAAAUUUGAAAUUUGAAGGUUUUUGAGAUGUUUGACCGGAACUGGACUUUUUGAUAUCGGGGUCGAAUUUCGAUUUCAGAUGUUGGAAUAGGUCUGUAAUGUCGAAUGUGACUUGUGUGCAAAAAUUGAGGUCAGUCGGACGUGAUUUGAUAGGUUUUGGCAUCGAAUAUAGAAGUUUGAUGUUCUAAAGUUCAUUAAGCUUGAAAUGGGGUGCGAUUCAUGAAUUCGACAUUGUUUGAUGUGAUUUGAGGUCUCAAACAAGUUCGUGUUAUGCUUUUAGACUUGUGUGGGUAUUUGAUUUGGAUCUCCGGGGGCUCGGGUGAGUUACGGAGUGGCUUCAGAGUGUUUUGUUAAGAAGUUGGAUUGCUUGUUCUGGUAUGAUCGCAAUUGCGAUGUUUUGGUCGCAAAUGCGAUGGUCGCAUUUGCGAGGCAAGGUUCGCGUUUGCGAACCUGGACUGCUGAGGGAAUGGAUCACAUUUGCGACAAUAUAGUCGCUUUUGCGAAGCCUGAAGAGUUCGCAUUUGCGAACUCUGUAUCGCAUUUGCGAUGAAGGCCAGCUCUGUCAGGGGGCGCAUUUGCGAUGCUUUCUUCGCAUUUGCGAAGGUCGCAUUUGCUCACCCACUAUCGCAAAUGCGACAUUUGCGACUGGAACCAAGGGCUUUUUAUUCCGAGAAUUAGCUCAUUUCCCUCAUUUCUCACUUGGACUUAGGCGAUGUUUUAGAGCAUUUUGAGAGGGGGUUCCAUCAUCAUGAAGAGGUAAGUGAUUUCUUCUAGUUGUGAGUUAAAUACAAGGUUUAUAUAUGGAUUUAGACACGAAAAUUUGUAGAAAUUUGGGAUUUGGAAGAAAAACCUAGAAAUUGGUAUUUUUGGAUUUUGACCACGAGAUUGGGCAUGGAAUUAGAAAUAAAUUAUAUAUUUGAGUUCGUAGUGCUACGGGUAGUGUUUGUCUUCGAAUUGUUUUGAAAUCCGGGCACGUGGGCUCGAGGGUUGCUUUUUCGAUUUUCGAGCAGAGUUGGAAAUUGUUAUAAAUUGAUUAAUUAUGAGUAUUAGAGUCAAUUUUGAUUCGGUUGCAUCACAGGUGACUAGUUUUGGAGCAACGGGCAUCGGUUUGAGGUGUUAGAGAGGCUUUGGAGUCGGUUAUGGAAUUUUGGAGCGAGAUAAGUCUCCUAUCUAACUCUAUGAGGGGGAAUUUACCCCUAAGUGAUAUAUUGAUGUGUACAACUUGUUGCGGGGGCUACGUACGCACGAGGUGACGAGAGUCCGUACGUAGUUAGAUUGCGGGGGCUACGUACGCACGAGGUGACGAGAGUCCGUACGUAGUUAGAUUCUUGUUAUUGUCCGGGUAGACUUAGGUUCACACCAUGAUGUACUUGUACGAUAGGGAUUAUCCUUACUCGUUUAAUUCUUUAUUUUACCUUUCUACUUGAGACUAGACUUGCUAUUAUAGAGACUUCACGAGUUCACGAUUAGUCACUGAAUAACUUUACUCCUCUUACGACAUGUUUUCGUGAUGUCGGGCCGCUCGCCUCUGUAGGAUUUAUAUACCACACUCUCAUGGGAGCAGGCCGUUCGCCUCGGCAGUUUAAUAAAUAUAUCUAUGGUUUAUGCCGUUCGACCCUCGGCAUUGCACAAUUUAAAUAUUUAUGUUAGAUCAGGCCGUACGCCUCGGCAUUUCCUAUAUCAUAUCCUCAUGAAAUCGUGCGUAAUAUUUGACAAGAAGCCAGGGUAUCUGUAAAUUUUUUCCUGAUUCGAAUUAUAACAACCCUUUUGGUGAGGUCCAUUAUACACAUAUAUAUGCUCCGGUUGAGGAGCAAUUUGCUAAUUAAAAGCUUUAGUUUAUUGUAAGGAGGAUUAUUGUACAACAUAUUUACACUUGUUUAUUUUAUUUAUUUGCUUUGCCUCAUAUUUGUUCACCUCCUUAUUGUACUUGAUAUUAUUGGACCACUAGUGAGUGUCGAUGUCGACCCCUUGUCACUACUUCUCCGGGGUUAGGCUAGAUACUUACUGGAUACAUGUUGAUUACGUACUCAUACUACACUUGCUGCACAUUUUUGUGCAGGUACAUAUGUGACUAGUGGCUUUGUGAGAGCAGAGGCGUGUAUGCAUGCGGGGACUUGCGUGAGCUGCAUUCCAUAUUACGACCCGCAACCAACAUAGUCUCCUUCAGAGUAUUUAUAUUUCUCCUGUCCAAAUUUNNNNN